rnacentral:tRNA from 1 species
GAAGGGAUAGCUCAGGGGGAGAGUGUGUGCUUAGCAUGCACAAGAUCCUGGGUUCAAUCCCUAGUACCUCCU